rnacentral:lncRNA from 1 species
GUGGGUUCUCUCGGGGACAGUACACUCUCAGGGACAGUGGGGUUCCCAGGGCUAGUGAGUUUAAGGGACAGUAUGUUCCCAGGGGCGGUGGGUCCCAAAGGGCAGUGAGUUCCCAGGAACAGUGGGCUCUCAGGGUCAUCAAGGAUCUCAGGACCAAGGAGAACCACACACAAGGAGAACGUGGGAAGUCACAGAACAAUGGGUUUCCAGAGAAGUGGAGAUUCUCAGGACCAAGAAGGACAUGCUAAGGACAGCAGCAUCUCCAGGAAGACUGUGUCAACUGGAGAUUCUUCAGCUUCAGCCUCUUAGGUGGUAGAUCACAAGUGUGUACUACCUAACCUAGCUAAAAAGAACGAACCUAGCUAAAAAGAACUGUGUAGUUUAAAAGGGAGAAGUUACUGAAGAUCAAACCUUGGGUCUCCAGGAAUGAUGGCCAUACCCCUGAGCUGCAGCCGAG